UACAGAGGGUGCAAGCGUUGUUCGGAAUUAUUGGGCGUAAAGCGCGUGUAGGCGGCUUUGCAAGUCGGGUGUGAAAGCCCUCAGCUCAACUGAGGAAGUGCGCCCGAAACUGCAGAGCUUGAGUACCGGAGAGGAUGGCGGAAUUCCCCAAGUAGAGGUGAAAUUCGUAGAUAUGGGGAGGAACACCGGUGGCGAAGGCGGCCACCUGGACGGUAACUGACGCUGAGACGCGAAAGCGUGGGGAGCAAACAGG
rnacentral:rRNA from 1 species